GCCUACGACCAUAUCACCCUGAAUGCGCCCGAUCUCGUCUGAUCUCGGAAGCUAAGCAUGGUCGAGCCUGAUUAGUACUUAGAUGGGAGACUGCCUGGGAAUACCAGGUGUUGUAGGCU
rnacentral:rRNA from 1 species